GCUCCCGAAGCUCAGUUGGCAGAGCUGUGGGUCGGUACCCCACAUCCCGGGUUCAAGUCCCGGCGGUCGCA